CUCCGUGUAGCUCAGCCUGGUCAGAGUAUGCCGUUUGGGGCGGUGGGGUCGAAAGUUCGAAUCUUUCUACGGAGA
rnacentral:tRNA from 1 species